CUUGGUCAUUUAGAGGAAGUAAAAGUCGUAACAAGGUCUCCGUUGGUGAACCAGCGGAGGGAUCAUUACUGAGUUACCGCUCUAUAACCCUUUGUGAACAUACCUAACCGUUGCUUCGGCGGGCAGGGGAAGCCUCUCGCGGGCCUCCCCUCCCGGCGCCGGCCCCCACCACGGGGACGGGGCGCCCGCCGGAGGAAACCAAACUCUAUUUACACGACGUCUCUUCUGAGUGGCACAAGCAAAUAAUUAAAACUUUUAACAACGGAUCUCUUGGUUCUGGCAUCGAUGAAGAACGCAGCGAAAUGCGAUAAGUAAUGUGAAUUGCAGAAUUCAGUGAAUCAUCGAAUCUUUGAACGCACAUUGCGCUCGCCAGCAUUCUGGCGAGCAUGCCUGUUCGAGCGUCAUUUCAACCCUCAAGCACCGCUUGGUUUUGGGGCCCCACGGCACACGUGGGCCCUUAAAGGUAGUGGCGGACCCUCCCGGAGCCUCCUUUGCGUAGUAACUAACGUCUCGCACUGGGAUUCGGAGGGACUCUUGCCGUAAAACCCCCAAAUUUUUUACAGGUUGACCUCGGAUCAGGUAGGAAUACCCGCUGAACUUAAGCAUAUCAAUAAGCGGAGGA
rnacentral:rRNA from 1 species